UACGUAGGGGGCUAGCGUUGUCCGGAUUUAUUGGGCGUAAAGAGCGUGUAGGCGGCCAUGUAGGUCCGGUGUGAAAACUCGAGGCUUAACCUCGAGAUGUCAUCGGAAACCAUUUGGCUAGAGUCCGGAAGAGGAGAGUGGAAUUCCUGGUGUAGCGGUGAAAUGCGCAGAUAUCAGGAGGAACACCGGUGGCGAAGGCGGGUCUCUGGGCAACAACUGACGCUGAGGAGCGAAAGCGUGGGGAGCGAACAGG
rnacentral:rRNA from 1 species